CCUACGGGGCGCAGCAGUGGGGAAUAUUGCACAAUGGGCGCAAGCCUGAUGCAGCCAUGCCGCGUGUAUGAAGAAGGCCUUCGGGUUGUAAAGUACCUUCAGCGGGGAGGAAGGCGAUAAGGUUAAUAACCUUGUCGAUUGACGUUACCCGCAGAAGAAGCACCGGCUAAGUCCGUGCCAGCAGCCGCGGUAAUACGGAGGGUGCAAGCGUUAAUCGGAAUUACUGGGCGUAAAGCGCACGCAGGCGGUCUGUCAAGUCGGAUGUGAAAUCCCCGGGCUCAACCUGGGAACUGCAUUCGAAACUGGCAGGCUAGGGUCUUGUAGAGGGGGGUAGAAUUCCAGGUGUAGCGGUGGAAUGCGUAGAGAUCUGGAGGAAUACCGGUGGCGAAGGCGGCCCCCUGGACAAAGACUGACGCUCAGGUGCGAAAGCGUGGGGAGCAAACAGGAUUAGAUACCCCGGUAG
rnacentral:rRNA from 1 species